ACUCCUGCGGAGGCAGCAGUGGGGAAUAUUGCACAAUGGGCGCAAGCCUGAUGCAGCCAUGCCGCGUGUAUGAAGAAGGCCUUCGGGUUGUAAAGUACUUUCAGCGGGAAGGAAGGCGAUAAGGUUAAUAACCUUGUCGAUUGACGUUACCCGCAGAAGAAGCACCGGCUAACUCCGUGCCAGCAGCCGCGGUAAUACGGAGGGUGCAAGCGUUAAUCGGAAUUACUGGGCGUAAAGCGCACGCAGGCGGUCUGUCAAGUCGGAUGUGAAAUCCCCGGGCUCAACCUGGGAACUGCAUUCGAAACUGGCAGGCUAGAGUCUUGUAGAGGGGGGUAGAAUUCCAGGUGUAGCGGUGAAAUGCGUAGAGAUCUGGAGGAAUACCGGUGGCGAAGGCGGCCCCCUGGACAAAGACUGACGCUCAGGUGCGAAAGCGUGGGGAGCAAACAGGAUUAGAUACCCGUGUAGUCC
rnacentral:rRNA from 1 species